UCAGGCCUAACACAUGCAAGUCGAGCGCGCCCUUCGGGGUGAGCGGCGGACGGGUUAGUAACGCGUGGGAAUAUACCCUUUGGUACGGAAUAGCCUCUGGAAACGGAGAGUAAUACCGUAUGAGCCCUUCGGGGGAAAGAUUUAUCGCCAAAGGAUUAGCCCGCGUUAGAUUAGGUAGUUGGUGGGGUAAUGGCCUACCAAGCCUACGAUCUAUAGCUGGUUUUAGAGGAUGAUCAGCAACACUGGGACUGAGACACGGCCCAGACUCUUACGGGAGGCAGCAGUGGGGAAUCUUGGACAAUGGGGGCAACCCUGAUCCAGCCAUGCCGCGUGAGUGAUGAAGGCCUUAGGGUCGUAAAGCUCUUUCGCCUGUGAAGAUAAUGACGGUAGCAGGUAAAGAAACCCCGGCUAACUCCGUGCCAGCAGCCGCGGUAAUACGGAGGGGGUUAGCGUUGUUCGGAAUUACUGGGCGUAAAGCGCACGUAGGCGGAUCGGAAAGUUGGGGGUGAAAUCCCGGGGCUCAACCCCGGAACUGCCUCCAAAACUAUCGGUCUAGAGUUCGAGAGAGGUGAGUGGAAUUCCGAGUGUAGAGGUGAAAUUCGUAGAUAUUCGGAGGAACACCAGUGGCGAAGGCGGCUCACUGGCUCGAUACUGACGCUGAGGUGCGAAAGUGUGGGGAGCAAACAGGAUUAGAUACCCU
rnacentral:rRNA from 1 species